GGCUUGGUGAACAGACGUAAUUUUAACAGAAAGAAAAAAAAUAAUUAAAAAUGGCGAUUACUUUAUUGGAAAUGAAAAAAAUGUUUAUUCUACAUAAAAAAGAAAUACAAAUAUUAUUUAAAGAACAAGAAAAAGUAUUCGUUGACUUACUUAGUGAUAACUUAAAAAUACUCAAUGCACGCUUGGAUAAUUAUUGAAAUAAAAAUCAUUAGAUUGCGAUAAAAAGCAUCUAUAUAGACAGGUCGAGGUGUAAUAACUUAAGAAAAACGAAAUUCCCGAAAAUGCAAAUGAAACUUGGGAUGAAACUGAAGAAAAGGUUAAGAAUUUAUUAUGCGUAAAUUUAGAAGUUAAAGGAGUUGAAAUUGAAAGGGUACAUCGAGUAGGAUUUAAAAAAGAAGCCCGAUCCCGAACCAUUGUAUUGAAAUUAUUGAAGAUAAUAAUCAAAGACAAAUCAAACAUCCUAAAAGAAACAAAAAAACUAAAAGGUCUCAAUAUCUACGUAAAUGAAGAUUUCUCGCAAGAGACGGAAAACCUUCGUAAAAAGUCAUUUACAGAAGCGAAAGAAAAAAAAUUUAAAGGAAAAAACGAUAUUGUCAGACAUGAGUGAAAAACUUUUUAUUUAAAAGUGUUUGUAAUAAGUCAAAACGAUGUUUCUAGAAAACUAAUCAUUUUAAAUCUUAACUUUGCAUAUUUUAAUAAUAAAAAUGGCUGACCAAUCGAACGCAACAAAUUUUUUUGAAAUUUUUAAUAAAAAAAACGCACUUCUUUUGAAUAAUGAUAAUGAUUCAAUGUAAAUUCAGAUGUAAACUUUUUUGACGACGUCAUAAUCAACUCAAACUAUUUUGAUAUUAAGGAAAUUUCUAACCUCAUGAACGAGUCACAAAUGUUAUUUUCAACAUUAACUUUAAACAUACGUAUUAUGCGAAAAAACUUUUUAAUCGAUGUGCAAAUAAGUUGGAAAGAGUACAUUAAUCUAAUAGAAAAAAAAAAUUAAAAAAUUAUUGGAAUUAUGUAUAAAACUAGAUAUAUGCUGGAUAAAAACUGUUUAAAAUCUAUUUACUUUUUAUUUAUUCGUAGCUAUAUUAAUUGUUGUAACAUUAUUCAUCGAGACUAACGUGUAUCUUAAGAAAACAAAAACAAGCAAGUCGCCUAAUAUAAAAUGCUAAUAAAUACACUAGUGCCAACCCACUGCUAAGAAAGCUUAGAGUGCUGAGUGUUUAUCAAUUAAAUAUUUAUCUUACUCUUUUAUUCAUGUUUAGAUUAAAAUAUCAUAUGCUGCCUAAUAUUUGUGAAGACCUUUUCUUGAUUAUAAAUCAUAAACAUCAAACCAAGCAUUCAUUGCAUAAUUAUCAAGUACAAAAAACUUUGUUAAAACAAUCCGAAUUCUCUACAACAUACCGAGGGCCAUAUUUGCAAUCACUAACACUGUUGUGUAAUAACGAAUAAAAUGCUAAUUGUAAUUACUAAGUCUAAAAAUGAUAUUAUGCAACAACAACAACAAAAAAGGAGUGGCUUUAUUUCCAUAGAAGCAACAACAGUUUAUUAAUUAAGAAAUCGGAAUGUUGCUCAAGAAAAAAAUUGCAUAAAAUUAUCAGAAAAAGUUAAAAACAAAUUAUAGUAAACAACAUCCGCAGCUUCAUUACACUUCUGCACCUUUUGAACUGAGCAUGGGAUCCCUUUUUAGCAGGUUUCCUAGGUUUAUAAUUGCAAUUUGAAUUGGAAGCAAUGACGCUUGUGUGUGUGAUGGGAUUAAUAAACUUAUCAGAAUAAAAUUACAUAAGCUAUUAUAAGGCAAAUUUGUUGAAAAGCUUGCACAUUUGUUUUCAAACGAUAAAUAAAUCUAAAUUUUAUUUGGAAAAGAAGUUGAAUGUAACAUUCAAAAAGUGACCUUUAAAUCAAGUCUAUCUGUCGAAAACUGAAUUGUAAAGUUAAAGCGAUUCUAUAGCCGAGCCCAUAUCUCUAUCUCUCAAUAUAUAUCUAUCAAAGCCCAAUCUACUAAUUUGUGACAUUUUCUGUAUUUCUUUUUGUUAAGGUUUUACCUGACUAUUUACUAUCUAUUAUUUUUUUCAAAUAAAACUCUUAAUAAUUA